rnacentral:rRNA from 1 species
UUGAACGCUGGCGGCAUGCCUAACACAUGCAAGUCGAACGGAAACGAUGGAAGCUUGCUUCCAGGCGUCGAGUGGCGGACGGGUGAGUAAUACUUAGGAAUCUGCCCAUUAGUGGGGGACAACUCGAGGAAACUCGAGCUAAUACCGCAUACGCCCUACGGGGGAAAGCGGAGGAUCUUUCGGGACUUCGCGCUAUUGGAUGAGCCUAAGCCGGAUUAGCUUGUUGGUAGGGUAAAAGCCUACCAAGGCGACGAUCCGUAGCUGGUCUGAGAGGACGAUCAGCCACACUGGGACUGAGACACGGCCCAGACUCCUACGGGAGGCAGCAGUGGGGAAUAUUGGACAAUGGGCGAAAGCCUGAUCCAGCAAUACCGCGUGUGUGAAGAAGGCCUUAGGGUUGUAAAGCACUUUCAGUAGAGAAGAAAUGCUCAGAGUUAAUAGCUUUGAGAGUUGACUUAACCCGCAAAAGAAGCACCGGCUAACUCUGUGCCAGCAGCCGCGGUAAUACAGAGGGUGCAAGCGUUAAUCGGAAUUACUGGGCGUAAAGCGCACGUAGGUGGAUGUUUAAGUCGGAUGUGAAAGCCCUAGGCUUAACCUAGGAACUGCAUUCGAUACUGGGCAUCUAGAGUAUAGUAGAGGGAAGUGGAAUUUCCGGUGUAGCGGUGAAAUGCGUAGAUAUCGGAAAGAACAUCAGUGGCGAAGGCGACUUCCUGGACUAAUACUGACACUGAGGUACGAAAGCGUGGGGAGCAAACAGGAUUAGAGACCCUGGUAGUCCACGCCGUAAACGAUGAGAACUAGAUGUUGGGGGGCAUGUCCCUUUAGUGUCGAAGCUAACGCGUUAAGUUCUCCGCCUGGGGAGUACGGCCGCAAGGGUAAAACUCAAAUGAAUUGACGGGGGCCCGCACAAGCGGUGGAGCAUGUGGUUUAAUUCGAUGCAACGCGAAGAACCUUACCUACUCUUGACAUCCUUGGAAUCCUCUGGAGACAGAGGAGUGCCUUCGGGAACCAAGUGACAGGUGCUGCAUGGCUGUAUGCAGCACCUGUCGUGAGAUGUUGGGUUAAGUCCCGUAACGAGCGCAACCCUCGUCCUUAGUUGCCAGCACGUAAUGGUGGGAACUCUAAGGAGACUGCCGGUGAUAAACCGGAGGAAGGUGGGGACGACGUCAAGUCAUCAUGGCCCUUAUGAGUAGGGCUACACACGUGCUACAAUGGUCGGUACAGAGGGUUGCCAAGCCGCGAGGUGGAGCGAAUCCCUUAAAGCCGAUCGUAGUCCGGAUCGGAGUCUGCAACUCGACUCCGUGAAGUCGGAAUCGCUAGUAAUCGCGAAUCAGCAUGUCGCGGUGAAUACGUUCCCGGGCCUUGUACACACCGCCCGUC